GAAAUGCGCAGAUAUCAGGAGGAACACCGAUGGCGAAGGCAGGUCUCUGGGCUGUUACUGACGCUGAGGAGCGAAAGCAUGGGGAGCGAACAGGAUUAGAUACCCUGGUAGUCCAUGCCGUAAACGUUGGGCACUAGGUGUGGGGGACAUUCCACGUUUUCCGCGCCGUAGCUAACGCAUUAAGUGCCCCGCCUGGGGAGUACGGCCGCAAGGCUAAAACUCAAAGGAAUUGACGGGGGCCCGCACAAGCGGCGGAGCAUGCGGAUUAAUUCGAUGCAACGCGAAGAACCUUACCAAGGCUUGACAUUCACCGGACCGCCCCAGAGAUGGGGUUUCCCUUCGGGGCUGGUGGACAGGUGGUGCAUGGUUGUCGUCAGCUCGUGUCGUGAGAUGUUGGGUUAAGUCCCGCAACGAGCGCAACCCUCGUUCUAUGUUGCCAGCACGUGAUGGUGGGGACUCAUAGGAGACUGCCGGGGUCAACUCGGAGGAAGGUGGGGAUGACGUCAAAUCAUCAUGCCCCUUAUGUCUUGGGCUUCACGCAUGCUACAAUGGCCGGUACAAAGGGUUGCGAUACUGUGAGGUGGAGCUAAUCCCAAAAAGCCGGUCUCAGUUCGGAUUGAGGUCUGCAACUCGACCUCAUGAAGUCGGAGUCGCUAGUAAUCGCAGAUCAGCAACGCUGCGGUGAAUACGUUCCCGGGCCUUGUACACACCGCCCGUCAAGUCACGAAAGUUGGUAACACCCGAAGCCGGUGG
rnacentral:rRNA from 1 species